CCGCUCGACAUACACAAUAACAACUCUCGAAAUCUGAAUACAUUUCCCAAAACCCGAAAUCUCAUGAUCACAAGCCUUUGAAUGUCUACAAGUAUCUAACUCCAGAGUAUCUAACAAGGAAAGGAAAAAUACAGAAUGGCUAAUUCUAAAAAGGGGGAGUAGAAAGGGACUCUUCGGUCUGCGGACACGGCAGAUAUACCUCUGAGUCUCUACAAGCGCCUCGUCUCAAGCGUGAUGAGUCUGAGUGGAGGUACCUUGAUCUGCAUAUGAAAAACAUGCACAGAAAGGGCAUGAGUACACCACAGCGGUACUCAGUAAGUGCCAAGCCUAACCUCGAUCAGGUAGUGACGAGGAAGGUGAGGGCCCUACUGAGAUUAAAUGAAAUAUAAGGUGCGACAGUAUAAGAUAAAGUAGUACCGUUGGAAGAUAACAAUAAGAAUCAAUACAGGAUAAUAAGGAUAACUACAACUGGAAAAAAAACAGAAACAAUCACAAUGAAUACCACUCUUCUCAAAGAUAAUAACUGGGGAUCUCUCAGUAUCCCGAGGAUCUCUUAGUACCUUCAAUACAUACUAGGGAUCUCUUGGUAUCCUCAAUAUAUGUUAGGGAUCUCUUAGUAUCCUGAGGAUCUCUUGGUAUCCUCAAUAUACGUGCUAGGGAUCUCUCGGUAUCCCACACCUCAACUCAAAUCAUAAAUAUGUACAGGGGAUCUCCCGGGAUGUCGUCCCGUAGUUACAAAGUAAAACACAGGGCAACAACACAAGGAAUAAUCAAGAUAAAUUUCGUACCAAUUAAAACAGGUAAUUCUAACCUAACAUGAUUCACAUAAUACAAUUACGGUAGUAUAAACAAUAAAGUGAUUAAGUAAACUAAACAUGCUUUUCUAAGCUAACAGCAGGUUUAAAUUUCAAGUAGAGUAAGCAUGAAAGGAAAACACAAUUAAAGCUACUUUAGUGAAAAUAGGAUUUUCAACAAUUAUCACAAGUACGCACUCGUCACCUCACGUACAAGGCAUUUCAAUUACCACAAUACCAAAUCCUAAGGGGAAUAUCCCCCACACAAGGUUAGGCAAGCCACUUACCUCGAACCGGCUCAAAAGUCAACCCGAAACCACGUUCUUGCCAUGAGUACUCGACUCCAAAUGACCCAAAUCUAUUCAAUUCAAUUGCAUAAUAUAAAUAACAAUUCAAGCAACUAAUUCUAUAAAGAAAUUCUAAGCUAAUACACGAAAUUAGGUAAAAUAACCAAAACGCCCCUCGAGCCCACGUCUCGAAAUUGGGUGAAAUUUACAUUUUCAAAUAUCUCGUACUCUCACAAGUCUAUACAUAAUAAGAACACUGAAAUCGGAGUUCAAUUGACCCCUCAAAUACCCAUGUUAAGGUCUCUUAAUCUCAAGCCCUAAUUACCAAUUUUUCACCACUAAUUAGGUCUUUAAUCGCAUAUAAACGAGUUAUGAAGUCAAAAAUAUUACCUCUAAGUGAUUCCCCUUUGGUUUCCUCAAAAAUCACCCUCAAAAGCUUCAAUCCCGUUCAAAAAUGGUGGGAAAUGAAGAAGAGUCGCGGAUAGGCUAUUUAAAUACUUCCCAAAACUCCCUUCUUCACGAACGUGGAAGGCCCCUCGCGUUCGCGAAGCACAAAUUCGCUUGGGUCCAGAUUGCUUCAUCGCGAAUGCGAUGACCAGGUCGUGAACGCGAUGCAAAACUUCCUCCUCCUACGCGAACGCGGGAACACCAUCGCGAACACGUAGGUAUAAAACCUCUCAGCUUCGCAAACGCGGGAAACUCUUCGCGAACGCGAAGCACAAAGACUCUCCCAGCUCCAGCUCCUCUUCGCGAUCGCGAGACCCUUCUCGGGAACGCUAAGAAGGAAACCAGAACUGGGCUGCUGCAGUUUUUCUGCAAUUCCAACAAGUUCCAAAAUACCCCUUUGAGCAUCUGAAACACACCCGAGGCCCACGGGACCUCAACCAAACAUGCCAACCAAUCCUAAAACAUCAUUCAAACUUGUUACAAUCUUUGAAAUGCUCAAAACAAUAUCAAACACCAAUUUAGCAUCACAUUCAAGCUUAAGAACUUCAAAAACUCUUAAAAUAUGCUUUCGAUCAAAACGUCUAUCAAACCUCGUCCGAAUGACCUGAAAUUUUGCACACACGUCACAUUCAACACUAUGGAGCUACUCCAACUUCCAGAAUUCCAUUCCGACCCUCGGAUCAAAAUGUCACUAUCGAACUGGAAACUUUAAAAAUUUAACUUUUGGCAUUUCAAUCCUAAAUUAGCUACAAACCUCUAAAACACCAUCCGAACACACUCCUAAACCCGAAAUCACCCAACGGAGCUAACGGAACCAUCGGAAUUCCAUUUCGAGGCUGUCUUCACACUGUUCUGACUACGGUCAAAUUUCCAAAACUUAUUUAGGGACUGAGUAUCCCAAAAAUCUCUGAAACUCCCAAUAAUUCCCCCGACAACUCACAACAGCAGAAACAAACACGAGAAAAGCAGUUAAUAGGGGAUCGGGGCAUAAAUUCUUAAAACGACCGACCGGGUCGUUACAUCCUCCCACACUUAAACAUUCAUUCGUCCUCGAACAAGCAUAGAGACAUACCUGAAGUAGUGAAAAGAUGAGGGUAACGGCCAUGUAUAUCUUGCUCGGUCUCCCAGGUCGCCUCCUCGACCGGCUAACCUCGCCAUUGAACCUUCACUAAUGCAAUAUUUUUUGAUCUCAACUUUUUAACUUGCCUAUCCAAUAUUGCCACUGGCUCCUCAACAUAAGAUAGAUCCUUUUCCAAAUGGACCGAACUGAAAUAUAACACGUGCGACGGAUCCCUGUGAUACCUCCGGAGCAUAGAAACAUGAAAUACCGGAGGAACACCUGCCAAGCUAGGAGGUAAGGCAAGAUCAUAAGCAACAUCCCCAACAUGCCUCAAUAGCUCAAAAGGGCCAAUAAACCUCAGACUCAACUUCCCCUUAUUUCUAAAUCUCAUAACACCCUUCAUAGGCGAAACUCGAAGCAGAACCCGCUCUCCAACCAUAUAGGAAACAUCACAAACCUUCCAAACCGCGUAGCUCUUCUAUCUAGACUGAGCUGUACGGAGUCUAUCCUAAAUUACCUCAACCUUCUCCAAAGCAUCCUGAACCAAGUCUAUGCCCAAUAAUCUGGCUUCACCUGGCUCAAACCAACCCAUCGGGGAUGUACACUGCCUACCAUAUAAAGCCUCAUAUGGUGCCAUCUGAAUGAUGGACUGAUAGUUGUUGUUGUAGGCAAACUCUGCCAAUGGCAAGAACUGAUCCCAAGACCCUCCAAACUCAAUCACAUAUGCACGGAGCAUAUCCUCAAGAAUCUGAAUAGCGCGCUCGAACUGUCCGUCCGGCUGAGGGUGAAAUGCUGUAUUCAACUCCACUCGAGUAUCCAACUCAUGCUGAACGGCCCUCCAGAAUCGUGAUGUGAACUGAGUACCCCUAUCGGAAAUGAUGGAAACUGGAAUACCAUGCAGACGAACAAUCUCUCGGAUAUAAAUCUCUGCCAAUCACUCUGAAGAAUUAGUAGUACACAUAUGGACUUGGUCAGCCGAUCCACAAUCACCCAAAUAACAUCGAACUUUCUCAAAGUCCGUGGGAGCCCAACUACAAAGUCCAUGGUGAUCCGCUCCGACUUCCACUCUGGAAUCUCUAUCUGCUGAAGCAACCCUCUCGGUCUUUGGUGCUCAUACUUCACCUGCUGACAAUUGAGGCACCGAGCUACAAAUCCAACUAUGUCUUUCUUCAUCUGCCUCCACCAAUAGUUCUGCCUCAAAUCCUGAUACAUCUUCGCGACACCCAGAUGAAUGGAAUACCGCAAACUAUUGGCCUCCUUUAGAAUCAACUCAUGAAGCCCAUCACAUUGGGUACACAAAUCCGACCAUGCAUCGCCAAUACCCCGUCAUCACCAAUGGUCACAUCUCUCGCAUCACCAUACUGAACCUUAUCCUUGAGGACAAGCAAAUGAGGGUCAUCAUACUAACGCUCCCUGAUACGAUAAAAUAAGGAAGACCGAGAAACCACGCAAGCUAGAACCCGACUAGGCUCCGAAAGAUCCAAUCUCACAAACUGGCUAGCUAAGGCCUGAACAUCCAUCGCCAUAGGCCUCUCCGAUGUUGGUAAAUAAGCCAAACUUCCCAAACUCUCUACCCGGCGACUCAAGGCAUCGGCCACCACAUUGGCCUUGCCUGGGUGGUACAAAAUAAUGAUAUCAUAGUCCUUCAGCAACUCUAACCACCUUCUUUGGCGCAAGUUUAGAUCCUUUUGCUUAAAUAGGUGAUGCAAGCUCAGAUGAUCAGUAUAAAUAUCACAAGGCACACCGUACAAAUAAUGACGCCAGAUCUUCAGUGCGUGAACAAUGGCAGCUAACUCAAGGUCGUGGACCGGAUAAUUCUUCUCAUGAACCUUCAACUAUCUAGACGCGUAGGCAAUCACCCUACCGCCCUACAUCAAAACCGCUCCAAGGCCAAUCCUCGAGGCAUCACAAUAAAUAGUGUAAGACCCCAAACCUAUAGGUAAUAUCAAAAUCUGGGCUAUAGUCAAAGCUGUCUUAAGCUUGUGAAAGCUCGCCUCACACUCUUUCGUCCACUGGAAUGGAGCACCCUUCUGGGUCAACCUGGUCAUAAGGGUUGUGAUCGAUGAAAACCUCUUAACAAAAUGAUAGUAACAACCCGCCAAGCCAAGAAAACUGCUGAUCUUUGUAGCUGAGGACUGUAUGGGCCAACUCUGCACUGUCUCUACUUUCCUCGGAUCCACCUGAAUACCUCACUCGACACUACGUGGCCUAAGAAUACCACGGAAUCCAACCAAAACUCACAUUUCGAGAACUUAGCAUAUAACUUCUUUUCUAUCAAGGUCUGAAGCACUGUCCUCAGGUGUUGCUCAUGAUCUUCCUGACUCCGUGUCACAACCCAAACUGAUAGGCCGCGACGGGCACCCGGUAUCUUACUCAACUGAGUACCAACAUAAUGUAUCUUUCUUACUACAUCAUCAUAUACAUGUGACAUACGGGCCUAAUAGGCCAACAUAAUCAUUUAUAAACUCAAAAUAUAGGCCGACAAGUCCGUACAAUCUUUCACGUACAUGACAUAUGUCUACAAGCCUCUAAGAGUACAUAAAUAUCAUGAAGGUCAGGACCGAGUGUUAUACCCCAUUUUAACACGGGUCAAAUCAGAGUAUAACAUAUUGGUAAUUUUGAGGUUUAAUUAAUUAAAGAGAGUCUCCACCUAAUUAUUUUAACGGUGAAUUAGGACACCAAUUUUAGCUAAAUAGUGUUUAAAGUUAACUCUGUUCUAUGGUCUACUUAACCUUCAAGACUACGGGUAAGGGUUCUAAUUGAUCUUAUAGAGAAGGUAUUAAGCACUCUAUAUGACCCAUUAAAUAUGGUUAACCGGCCAAAAUUAGGUUAAUUGAUAAAAAAUAUUACGCCAAAAUAUCAAUGUAUAGCUAACUAUAUAACUCGAUAGAAAACAAGAAAGUAUUCGAUUUCAGCAUUGGCUAACUUCUAUGGAACUUAACUAUUUAUAUCUUAAGGAAAAUGUUUAAGUCCCUUAAGAAAGCUGACGAUUUGAGGAAAAUAUUUUAUAGAUCAGUUUUAACAUGAUGAAAGCAAUAAUUUAAAAUAAUUCUCAAAGGAAGAACGCUUGGAGACAAGUCCUCCUACUUGCUAAAGAAAAGCAAUUUUCAUUAGAACUUUUAGAAAACACUCAGCAUAUUAAUUAUAUAAAAUCUCAACUUGAUGAUGUUAGAAAGGAUGUUAAUGAGAUCUUUUGAAAAACUUCAUUUUAAUAACUUGUGAAAGUGUCAAAUUACUAUUUUUGAAGUUUAGAAGUCUAGGUAAACACUAUAUGAUAAAAUAGGUACCCUGUUUGCUAGCUAAAGAAGAGAUAAUUAAAUAGACUCAAUCUUCAAACCCAUGUUAAGCGUGAGAUAAAUACAAAUACAAAAUAAACCAGGUUACAUCAAGAAAUUAAAUAAAACAAUCGUAAAAUAAAGAGAAGAUAAGAAAGACGACAUAGGCGCCCCCAAGCAUUUCGCUUGUUUUCUUGCUAUCGGGUGCACUCUAAGGAAGAUGCCAUGUGAUGACUCCAUGAUCGAGAAUGGGGGAGUCUUGCAUUAAGACUCCAUAUUUUACUCCAAAUACAUAUGCAAAAGAAAUAAACAAGCCAAGAAUUAGGAAGAAGAAAAAAUCUGUUUUUUCUUUAGUGCUAAAGAGCAGAGGUUAAUAAUAAGUAGAAUCACUUCAAGUAAUAUUGAUAUUCAAAUUAUCUAAAUAAGUUAUUAGCACACUCAUAGCUUAUCAUCUCAUAUUACUACCGUCAUUCAUGCUAUCAUGAAACUAAUAUUACCCAUAUAUAAUAGAUAAUACUAAAAUGCAUGGGCAACUAUGUGACUCAAAAAUUAUUUUAAAGUUUCAAGUAUAAACCCUUUUAAUUCUUAAGUUAAGCAACGGCGUCAGUAAUUAUAAAAGGAUCUAUAAUCGUAUACCAACAUUUCACAAUAACAUGCGUUUCCGUUAGCUAAAGUCUAUAUCAUUGUGAGAAAUUCUAAAUUCUAUGGACAUAGCUUCUAAUUAACCAAUUUAUACAGUAAGAUUAAGCUAAUAUCCAUAAAUUCCCAAAUGGUAAUAUAAACACUUAUUUCACAAAAGAAAUACUCUACGGAAGCAAACACUAUCCAGAUCAUAUAGUAUCAAUUAUUAACGUAAAUAUAACUCAUACUUACUAGAAGACAACCAUGAAGAGGGCAACUAAUGCACUAAUAUAUUCAUAUGACCAUCGACACUUUAUUUUACUUAAUUAAGAGAUAAUUAAAAAUAAUAGUCUUGCAUGAUUUCAUACAUGAACGAAUUUACGAUGGAAAAUAAACUGGAGACAAGAUUUUUAAAACAAAUAAACAAAUAUUUCAGAUCUUCGAAUACAGGAAAGCCGAGAAGAAAGAUUUCGAAGUUACUUACCUUUUUGUGGGCAGUGAAUGGGGCAUCGUCAAGAGGAUCUCCGGCUUUGGCUCAACUCUUUCGUAAGAUCAUCAAAUGCGUACACAAAAAAAAAUAAAAGCUUUGACAAUGCUAUGGACUAAAUAGAGGUCAAAAAGCAGAGAAAACUUAAAGCUGGAUUUUAAGAGAGCAAGGAAGAAGAUAAGCUUUGAAUAGUUAGCCACUGAGGGUGAAGGGAGAUAGAAGGGGGGGUGGCCAACCAUUAGUUUUUCUAGUAAAAUGGUGGCUGAAGCUUAAACUUAUAGGGGAUAGAGGAACGGCCAGAGCUUAAAGGUUAAAGGAGGGGGUUCAAGCUUGUGGGUUUAAAGAGAGGUGUAACUGCUCUCAAAAGCUCUGCCCCAAUAUAUUCCAAAUGCAAGUAUUUAUAGGUGAAGAAGUAGGGUUCAUGUUCCUGAUUUUGAAAUUCAAAAUCCCAUGGCAGAAAAGGAUCACGGGUAUUUUGAUUCAAAAGAGUCGUUCGAGGCAGCUGAUUUUCAACGGGCAAAGUGUAGGUGUGGCAGUAGAGAUUUUACAAAAAAUUUCUAAUCUCCUUCUGGCAUUGGAAAAAUAUAGAAGAAAAUGUAUAUAGAAUGGAAAGACUUUUUGAAGAGAGAGAGAGAGAUAUUUUAGGAAAAAAGAGAAAAGUUGGGGGGAAAUCAAACAUUCUGAAAAGAAAAGAUUUUAUGGGGGAAAGGAGAUUAUUCACGUGAAGAGAGGACAAAAUUGGUGAAACUUUUUAGAUUUGGUCAAAGUUUAGUGUUGGAAUUUGAAGAGAA
rnacentral:lncRNA from 1 species